rnacentral:tRNA from 1 species
GCGGGUAUUGUAUAAUGGCUUAUUAUGUCAGCCUUCCAAGCUGAAGAUACGGGUUCGAUUCCCGUUACCCGCUCCA